UGUUGAAGAUUAAGCCAUGCAUGUGUAAGUAUAAAGACCUAGUAGGAUGAAACUGCGGACGGCUCAUUACAACAGUUAUAGUUUCUUUGGUUAGUACGAAAAGGAUAACUCUGUUAAUUGUAGAGCUAAUACUUGAGACACUCCACUUUCCUUCGGGAUUGUGGCGACCACAUCUCGGUGCGGUUAAGAAUUAUUCCAUUCUGAAUGCUGGAAUAAGGACAAUUGUAGAAUCCUACGGAUUUUAACUAACAAGUAACCAAUGAGAAUUUCUGACUUAUCAACCAGUAGGUAAGGUAGUGGCUUACCUUGGUGAUCACGAGUAACGAGAAAUAAGGGUUUGACAUCGGAGAGGGAGCCUUAAAAAUGGCUACCACUUCCAAGGAAGGCAGCAGGCGCGAAAAUUACCCACUUGGGACACCCAGAGGUAGUGAAGACAAAUAACUAAAUGCUGUCCACUGGAUAGCGUUUAAGGGAUGAGCUAGACGUUAACACUCUAGCGAAAGCGAUUGGAGGGCAAGUCUGGUGCCAGCAGCCGCGGUAAUUCCAGCUCCAAUAGUGUAUAUUAAAGUUGUUGUGAUUAAAAAGCUCGUAGUUGAAUUCGACAAGAACUUUGGCGCUGUUUCUCCCUCGGGAGCGACAGUGGUCAAGUAUAGUUCUAAACACCUUCAGUCACUCUUUUCGGAGGGUGAGUGGAGAUAUUUACUUUGAAUAAAUAUGAGUGUUUAAAGCAAAGCAAAAGCUAAUAAAAUAUGAAGCAUGGGAUAAUAGAGAGGAGAUACCCACACCAACCACAUUGUGAUUGGCGGGUAUUUCUAGAUAAGGAUUAAUAGAAAGAGAUGGGGUGAUUUAUACGGAAAUGGGAGAGGUGAAAAUCCAUGAUCAUUUUAGGAUAAACUGAAGCGAAAGCAUUUCACUUAAAUCUGUUCAUUAAUCAAGAACGAAAGUUAGGGGAUCGAAGACGAUUAGAUACCGUCGUAGUCCUAACUAUAAACGAUGUCAACGAAGGAUUGGAUUGAACCUUUACCACACUGUCUCGACAGAGUGGUAGUAUACUUCAGUUCAGGACUUUAGGGGAAACCUAUAGUUUAUGGACUUCAGGGGGAGUAUGGUCACAAGGCUGAAACUUAAAGGAAUUGACGGAAGGGCACACCAGGAGUGGAGCCUGCGGCUUAAUUUGACUCAACACGGGAAAACUUACCAAGACCGAACAGUAGAAGGAAUGACAGAUUAAGAGUUCUUUCAUGAUUUAUUGGGUAGUGGUGCAUGGCCGUUCUUAGUUGGUGGAGUGAUUUGUCAGGUUAAUUCCGGUAACGAACGAGACUGAAACCUAUUAAUUAGUUUUCUGCCUAUAAGACAGAAAUGUUCGCAAGAACAGGUGCGUAAGUACCACUUCUUAAAGGGACACAUUUCAAUUGUCCUAUUUUAAUUGUAGUUAUCUAAUUUCGGUUAGACCUCUUUUAACGUGGGAAAAAGAAAAAGGAAGCAUUCAACAAUAACAGGUCUGUGAUGCCCUUAGACAUCUUGGGCCGCACGCGCGCUACAAUGGAGUUACUAGAGAGUAUUUUAUCAUUUACACCUUAUUUAUUAGGCUUUGUCUAAUAAUUAAGGAUAGUAAGUGGUGUACCGAGAUUGAAAUAGUUAAGGAAAACUCAAAAGAACGUACAUGACAGGGAUAAAUGAUUGGAAUUAUUUGUUUUGAACGAGGAAUUCCUUGUAAUAUCGAGUCAUUAACUCGAGAUGAAUACGUCCCUGCCCUUUGUACACACCGCCCGUCGCUCCUACCGAUUGAAUAAAGAGGUGAAAUUCUAGGAUUCUGUCUUAUAGAUAGAAAAAUGGAUUUAAAUCUCCUUAUUUAGAGG
rnacentral:rRNA from 1 species